CUUCUGUCACUGUCAAAAGGGCUGGUCAGCUUUCUGCUCUUACUGUCAAAUUCAGACUAUAUAUACAAUGCCUUUGCUCGUCCCUUUGAAUGCCUUGCACAUGUUUCUUGAAGAAAGACAAUAAGGUUUUUAUUUUAUUUUUUUCUUUUAGGCGAAAAAACAAAAUAAAUUACUGAAUGAUUGAUAGUUACUUUCUAACACUUCUUCCAUAUUUGAGAAGGAGAUUUAUUGAUAUUGUCGUUGAUUAUUGUACAUGAGCAACACUGGAGGCGGCCAGAAAACGCCCAUUUUUCAUGAAAGAGAAGUGGUUCUAAACAAACUUCUGGUACUUCAAGCUUCUUAUCUGAAUACUUCCAUCAGGGCAGCCAUAAAUCUUCAUCUGGCUGAAUCCUUUUAUUCAUUCAAUGAUGUGUUGUUUUUAAGGAUGUUGGCAUUUAUGACAAGCUUUCUCAGACAAUAAGCAUGCUGCCAGAGAGUUCGUCGCAGAUCAUGAGCCAGGAAUUACUCACUCAUCAUUAGCAAUAUCGAAACCUUUGCUAGCAUUUGAUGCCAUAUUUCCUUGUAUCUGCUAAUUUCAGCUAGAUAAAAGAAUCUCUCAUCUUUUUUUGUCUAGCCAUGGCUUCCUCCUCUUCCUCUGCUUCUUUCGAUCCACAACUCAAAUACGAUGUUUUCGUGAGCUUUAGAGGUGAGGACACACGGGAUAAUUUUACGAGCCAUCUCUAUGCUGCUUUACAUCAGAAACAAAUUAAAGCUUUCGUAGAUGAUAAACUUUCUAGAGGAGAAGAGAUAUCAGCGGCCCUAGUGAAAGUGAUUGAAGAAUCAAUGGUUUCAGUAAUCAUUUUCUCAGAAAACUAUGCAUUUUCACCAUGGUGCUUGGAUGAACUGGUAAAGAUCCUGGAAUGCAAGAAAACGGUGGGACAAAUUGUACUACCUGUUUUCUACCAUGUAGAUCCGUCCGACGUAGCUGAGCAGAAAGGUGGUUUUGGGGCUGCAUUUAUUGAGCAUGAAAAAUGUUUCAAGGAGAGAAUAGAUAAGUUGCAAAAAUGGAGAGCUGCUUUGACCGAAGCUGCCAACAUAUCUGGGUGGAGUUCGUCUGUCAUUAGGUCUGAAUCCAAACUUAUUCAGGAAAUUGCUGAAGAUAUAUUGAAGAAAUUGAAUCAUAUGUCAUCCUCAACUGAUUCAAAGGGUUUAGUUGGAAUUAAUUCUCGAAUUGACAAAAUUGAACUACUAUUAUGUGUUGAAUUAGCUGAUGUUCGUUUUCUAGGACUUUGGGGUAUGGGUGGUGCAGGCAAAACCACCACAGCUGAAGUAGUGUUCAACCGAAUAUCUACACAGUUUGACAGUUGCUGCUUUCUUGCAAAUGUUAAUGAAGAGUCAGAAAGGUAUGGCCUACUUAAACUACAAAGGCAGCUCUUCUCUAAACUCCUAGGGCAAGACAAUGUAAACUACGCUGAAGGCAUAUUUGAUAAGAGUAGACUCAAACAUAGAAAGGUUCUCAUUGUUCUUGAUGAUGUAAAUAACUUGAGACAGCUGGAAAAUCUGGCUGGAGAGCAUAAUUGGUUUGGACCAGGAAGUAGAAUCAUUCUAACUUCUAGAGAUAAGGAUGUACUCAAGAAUAAAACUGAUGCAAUCUAUAAGAUUGAGGACCUAGAUCACCAUGAAGCCCUUCAACUCUUUAGUUUGAAUGCGUUUAGGCAGGAAUGUCCCAAAGCAGAUUAUAUGAAGCUAUCAAAGAGAGUCAUAAAUUAUGCUAAAGGAAACCCAUUGGGUCUGAAAGUCCUAGGCUCCUUUCUAUAUCAAAGGAACAUCAAAGAAUGGGAAAGUGCACUGCAUAAACUAGAAAGGAGCACGAACAAAGAGAUUCAGAAUGUAUUAAAAGUAAGUUAUGAUGGAUUAGAUGACGAAGAGAAGGAUAUUUUUCUUGAUGUUGCAUGUUUCUUCAAUGGGGAAGAUAGAGAUUUUGUUACAAGAAUUCUGAAUGGCUGCGGCUUCUCUGCAGAUAUUGCCAUAAGUGUUCUUGUAAGUAAGUCCCUUCUAACUAUAUCGAACAACACGUUAGCUAUUCAUAAUUUGUUGCAGCAAAUGGGUUGGGGAAUUGUUCGACAAGAAUCUACUAAAGAGCCUGGGAGACGUAGCAGGUUGUGUACUUCUGAAGAUGUAGUCCAUGUAUUAUCCAAAAACACGGGAACUGAAGCAAUUGAGGGCAUAUACCUCGACAUGUCUAAAAGCAGAAAGGUGUAUCUAAGUCCUAAAGCCUUUGAAAGAAUGCAUAAUCUGAGAUUGCUCAAGUUUCAUCAUUCUUUUUCUCCCAUAGCAAUGUACAGCAAAGUGUACCUUCCAGAAGGUCUUGAAUCUCUGCCAGAUAAGUUAAGUUGUCUUCACUGGAAUGGCUACCCUUUAAAGUCUCUGCCAUUCAAUUUUUGUGCUGAGUACCUUGUUGAACUUAGCAUGCCUCACAGUCAUGUUAAAUUUCUUUGGGAGGGAGACCAGUGUCUCAAGAAGUUGAACUCAAUUAACCUUAGUGACUCCCAACACCUGAUCAGAUUACCAGAUUUCUCAGAAGCCUUAAAUCUUGAGUAUAUUAAUCUUGAAGGCUGUAUAAGUUUGGCUCAGGUGCCAUCAUCUAUCGGAUAUCUCACAAAGCUUGAUAUCCUGAACCUAAAAGACUGCAAAGAGCUUAGGAGUAUCCCAAGCUUAAUUGAUUUGCAAUCUCUGAGGAAACUGAAUCUCUCUGGAUGCUCAAACCUAAAUCACUGUCAAGACUUCCCUAGAAAUAUAGAGGAGCUAUGUUUGGAUGGAACUGCCAUAGAAGAACUGCCUGCGUCAAUUGAGGAUUUAUCUGAACUUACUUUCUGGAGUAUGGAAAACUGCAAAAGGUUUAAGAACCUUCCAAGCAACACAUACAAGCUGAAAUCUCUUAAACGUCUCUCCAUUGCUGGCUGCUUGAUGCUAGAAAGUAUACCCAUCAGCAUCAAACAACUUCCUUCGCUACAAAAGCUUGACAUAAGUGGCUGUCAGGGACUUAAAUGUUUGCCAGAACCUCCACAAAAUCUUAGGCUUUUAAAUGCCAACAGCUGCAUUUCGCUGGAAACAGUUUCAUUACCAUCAACAGAAUCUGGCAGAGCACUCAAAUAUAAUUAUAAUCAAAUAUUUUGUUUUCUUAAUUGUCUAAGGUUGGAUCAGAAUUCAUGCUGCCUUAUUGCAGCUGAUGCACACAAGACUAUUCAACGGACAGCAACAGCAGCAGUAAAAAACAAUUUUCAGGGGAUUCAUUCAUUGCCUUCAGUUAGUUUUGGUUUCCCUGGAACAGAGAUUCCGGAUUGGCUCCUCUACAAGGAAACUGGAUCUUCAAUAACAGUCAAGUUGCAUCCAAAUUGGCACAGAAAUCCUUCCAGGUUCUUGGGAUUCGCAGUAUGCUGUGUUGUUAAAUUCACACACUUCAUAGAUAUCAAUAACAUUUAUGUGAUAUGUGAAUGCAAUUUCAAGACCAAUCAUGAUGAUCACCAUGUUGUUAAUUGCUUUCUACAAGGUCUAAAUAAUGGAAAGGAUGAAUCAGACCUUGUGAAAUCACAACAUGUGUACAUUGGAUAUGAUUUUGGUAUAUAUCUUAGAGCAGUUAAAGGAACAUAUCCUGGGAGGUUGUACCAUUAUGAGGAGGUGACAUUCAAAUUCUACGCAAAAAAAAUGGUAGGGCACACCGUUGCCUGGCGGAAAGUGGACAAGUGUGGUGUACAUCUUUUAUAUGCACAGGAUGCUACAUGCUGAUGAAAAAGUUUCAAGAAGUUAUUGCUUGGAUCCAACAGAGGUAGUGCAGAGAAUAAAGGACAAGAUGCCACGACUGUGGAGCUAACUGAUUUCAUCUAAGCUGCUCAUGAUGGCAAAGUCAGUUGAUGUUUCAUUCCAGAAGAGAAUGGUAUUUCCCCAUCAGAAAUAUAAUUGCUAGAAUAAACGGUGCAGAUUAUGUUUUUCACUUUGAGUCAUAACUGUUCUAUAUUGAUUAUGUCCAAUUUUCUACCUCUGAUUUAACAACCAAAUACCAAUCAUAUUGAUGAUGAUUAUCCUAAGAAGAAAGUUAUUAUGAAUAUGAUAUGUGGAAAAGGAAGAAGGAGAUGAGAUAGGAGAACAAGAUACUGCCUGGAAAUGAAAAGAUGUUUUGCCUCCCUGGAAUUGGAGACCCACUGAUCCAGCAGUUUGUCAGUCAUAAAAUACUGAGAAGCUGCUCAAGGGCCUCCCUUUUUUCUUCAACAUGAGAGUGCCCUUACUUCAAAAGGGGCUUGGCAAACUAUCUGAUGAUUCUUAUAUGAAGUAGAACCAGAAUUUGUGGAUUCAAAAGGGGCUUCGUUCACAAACUUGCUAUACAGAAUAGAACUUUUCCCUACUUCCGCUACUACCUCUGAACAAGACAUGGCGACCUGGCCAUGGGACACAAGGACAGAACUAUAUUUCUUGUGGACUCGUGUAGGAAAUGCAGAACUGACAGAACCCCUUGUUGAACUAGAUGAAGUAGAAAUGCACAUGGGGAGGUGGAAUAAGUAGGACUGAUAAAUAGAAAUCUCUCUGCAAUUCAUUCCAGGUGAGAUUAUUGCGCAAUUUUUACAAUCAA